rnacentral:rRNA from 1 species
UAGGGAAUCUUCGGCAAUGGGGGGAACCCUGACCGAGCAACGCCGCGUGAGUGAAGAAGGUUUUCGGAUCGUAAAGCUCUGUUGUUAAGGAAGAACGAGUGUGAGAAUGGAAAGUUCAUGCUGUGACGGUACUUAACCAGAAAGGGACGGCUAACUACGUGCCAGCAGCCGCGGUAAUACGUAGGUCCCGAGCGUUGUCCGGAUUUAUUGGGCGUAAAGCGAGCGCAGGCGGUUAGAAAAGUCUGAAGUGAAAGGCAGUGGCUCAACCAUUGUAGGCUUUGGAAACUGUUUAACUUGAGUGCAGAAGGGGAGAGUGGAAUUCCAUGUGUAGCGGUGAAAUGCGUAGAUAUAUGGAGGAACACCGGUGGCGAAAGCGGCUAUCUGGUCUGUAACUGACGCUGAGGCUCGAAAGCGUGGGGAGCGAACAGG